AACGAACGUUGGCGGCAGGCUUAACACAUGCAAGUCGAGCGCCCCGGUAACGGGGAGCGGCAGACGGGUGAGUAACGCGUGGGAAUCUACCGAGCCCUAAGGAAUAGCUCCGGGAAACUGGAAUUAAUACCUUAUACGCCCUUUGGGGGAAAGAUUUAUCGGGGUUUGAUGAGCCCGCGUUGGAUUAGCUAGUUGGUGGGGUAAAGGCCUACCAAGGCGACGAUCCAUAGCUGGUCUGAGAGGAUGAUCAGCCACAUUGGGACUGAGACACGGCCCAAACUCCUACGGGAGGCAGCAGUGGGGAAUAUUGGACAAUGGGCGCAAGCCUGAUCCAGCCAUGCCGCGUGAGUGAUGAAGGCCUUAGGGUUGUAAAGCUCUUUCACCGGUGAAGAUAAUGACGGUAACCGGAGAAGAAGCCCCGGCUAACUUCGUGCCAGCCGCCGCAGUAAUAC
rnacentral:rRNA from 1 species